GAUGAACGCUAGCGGCAGGCCUAACACAUGCAAGUCGAACGGUAAGUUAGAAGCUUGCUUUUAACACGAGUGGCGCACGGGUGCGUAACGCGUAUGCAAUCUGCCCUUUUCUGGAGAAUAGCCCUUAGAAAUGAGGAUUAAUACUCCAUAGUAUAACGAUUUCGCAUGUUAUUGUUAUUAAAGCUUCGGCGGAAAAGGAUGAGCAUGCGUCCCAUUAGUUUGUUGGUGAGGUAACGGCUCACCAAGACUGCGAUGGGUAGGGGGCCUGAGAGGGUUAUCCCCCACACUGGUACUGAGACACGGACCAGACUCCUACGGGAGGCAGCAGUGAGGAAUAUUGCACAAUGGACGAAAGUCUGAUGCAGCCAUGCCGCGUGCAGGAUGACGGCCCUACGGGUUGUAAACUGCUUUUAUAUAGGAAGAAACCUCUUUACGUGUAAAGAGCUGACGGUACUAUAAGAAUAAGGACCGGCUAACUCCGUGCCAGCAGCCGCGGUAAU
rnacentral:rRNA from 1 species